UACGGAGGAUGCAAGCGUUAUCCGGAAUGAUUGGGCGUAAAGCGUCCGCAGGUGGCAAUGUAAGUCUGCUGUCAAAGCGUCUGGCUCAACCAGAUAAAGGCAGUGGAAACUACAUAGCUAGAGUAAGGUAGGGGUAGAGGGAAUUCCUGGUGUAGCGGUGAAAUGCGUAGAUAUCGGGAAGAACACCAGUGGCGAAGGCGCUCUACUGGGCCACAACUGACGCUGAGGGACGAAAGCGUGGGGAGCGAUCCGG
rnacentral:rRNA from 1 species